rnacentral:rRNA from 1 species
UGCCUGCCCGGUGAUUUUAGAAAUUAAACGGCUGCGGUACUCUGACCGUGCAAAGGUAGCAUAAUCAUUAGCCUGCUAAUUUCAGGCUGGAAUCAAUGGCAAGACGAAGAAAAAGCUGUCUCUUUAUAUUAUAUUUGAAUUUUUCGUUUUGGUUAAGAGACCAAAAUAGUUGAGUGGGACGAGAAGACCCUAUUGAGCUUUAAUUUUUUGUUAGAGGUGGAGUUUAAUUUUAAGUUUUGGUUGGGGCAACGGUUUUUUUUAUUAAACAAAAGGGAUAGAAGAUGAAUUAAUUCUUGUUUUGACCCAGAAGAUAUAUUCUGGUAAAUAGAAAAAGUUACCAUAGGGAUAACAGCGUAAUUCUUUUUGAGAGUACUUAUUGACAAAAGAGUUUGCGACCUCGAUGUUGGAUCAAGUUUACCUAGGGGUGCAGCAGCUUCUAAGGGUUGGUUUGUUCAACCAUAAAAAACUU